UACGGGGGGGGCAAGCGUUGUUCGGAAUCAUUGGGCGUAAAGGGCGCGCAGGUGGUUCUGUAUGUCUACCGUGAAAGCGUACGGCUCAACCGUAUUUUGUCGGUAGAAACUGCAGGACUUGAGGCUGGGAGGGGCUGGUGGAAUUCCCUGUGUAGCGGUGAAAUGCGUAGAGAUGGGGGAGAACACUCGUGGCGAAGGCGGCCAGCUAGACCAGUUCUGACACUGAGGCGCGACAGCGUGGGGAGCAAACAGG
rnacentral:rRNA from 1 species